UAGGGAAUCUUCAGCAAUGGACGCAAGUCUGACGGAGCAACGCCGCGUGAGUGAAGAAGGAUUUCGGUUCGUAAAACUCUGUUGUUAGAGAAGAACAGCGCAUAGAGUAACUGUUAUGCGUGUGACGGUAUCUAACCAGAAAGCCACGGCUAACUACGUGCCAGCAGCCGCGGUAAUACGUAGGUGGCAAGCGUUGUCCGGAUUUAUUGGGCGUAAAGCGAGCGCAGGCGGUCAAUUAAGUCUGAUGUGAAAGCCCCCGGCUCAACCGGGGAGGGUCAUUGGAAACUGGUUGACUUGAGUGCAGAAGAGGAGAGUGGAAUUCCAUGUGUAGCGGUGAAAUGCGUAGAUAUAUGGAGGAACACCAGUGGCGAAGGCGACUCUCUGGUCUGUAACUGACGCUGAGGCUCGAAAGCGUGGGUAGCAAACAGG
rnacentral:rRNA from 1 species